rnacentral:rRNA from 1 species
UACAGAGGCCUCGAGCGUUGUUCGGAUUCAUUGGGCGUAAAGGGCGCGUAGGCGGCGGGGCAAGUCGGGUGUGAAAUCUCAGAGCUCAACUCUGAAACUGCACUCGAUACUGCUUUGCUUGAGGACUGGAGAGGAGAUUGGAAUUCACGGUGUAGCAGUGAAAUGCGUAGAUAUCGUGAGGAAGACCAGUGGCGAAGGCGGAUCUCUGGACAGUUCCUGACGCUGAGGCGCGAAGGCCAGGGGAGCAAACGGG